UACAGAGAGUGCAAGCGUUAAUCGGAAUUACUGGGCGUAAAGCGCACGUAGGUGGAUAUUUAAGUUGGAUGUGAAAUCCCUGGGCUUAACCUAGGAAUUGCAUUCAAUACUGGGUGUCUCGAGUAUAGUAGAGGGAAGUGGAAUUUCUGGUGUAGCGGUGAAAUGCGUAGAUAUCAGAAGGAACAUCAGUGGCGAAAGCGGCUUCCUGGACUAAUACUGACACUUAGGUGCGAAAGCGUGGGGAGCAAACAGGG
rnacentral:rRNA from 1 species